GGCCUUGUAUUCAUUUUUGUGAUUGUAGAAUGCAAUUCUAUGGGGGUGAGUUGAGUGCUUACCAAGGCCU
rnacentral:tRNA from 1 species